ACGUAGCUAACCUACCCUUAGGACGAGGACAACCCCGAGAAAUUGGGGCUAAUCCGCGAUAGGUGUGAUGUCCUGGAAUGGUAUCACGCCCAAAGGUGUUCGCACGCCUAAGGAUGGGGCUGCGGCCGAUCAGGCAGUUGGUGAGGUAACGGCUCACCAAACCUUUGACCGGUACGGGCCAUGAGAGUGGUAGCCCGGAGAUGGACACUGAGACAAGGGUCCAGGCCCUACGGGGCGCAGCAGGCGCGAAACCUCCUCAAUGCACUCACGUGCGAAGGGGUUACCUCGAGUGCCGCCUGAAGAAGGCGGCUUUUCCGUGGUCUAAAAAGCCUAGGGAAUAAGAGGGGGGCAAGACUGGUGUCAGCCGCCGCGGUAACACCAGCCCCUCGAGUGGUGGGGAUGAUUAUUUGGCCUAAAGCGUCCGUAGCCGGCCGGGUAAGUCUCCCGUUAAAUCCAGCGUCUCAAGCGUUGGACUGCGGGAGAUACUGUCUGGCUAGAGAGUGGGAGAGGUGUACGGUAUUCUGGGGGUAG
rnacentral:rRNA from 1 species